GUUUCUACGCGUCCUCGUCUUUAUGAAAACGCGUGUUUACCACUUGUAAAGACAAAGAUGUACACUCGGUGUCCACUUUAUUAGGUACACCGGGAAUAUGCAUUGCAAUCCAAUACAACAGCGCUGCCAUGAAUCGGUUUCGAUUGACACCGUUUGAGAGCUCUCCAUCUGAAGCAGAGCAGCACAAAGAGCUGCUGAAGUGUCCCACGCUCAAAGAACACUGUGAAGACGGCGUCGAAGAUUUAUCGUAUCACAGCCAGGCAGAGGAGUGGAGCGCAGGGAAGUGGAGUGCUAACAGUAAAUCUGGAGGCCUGGAGGAGGAACAGGAGGAGCGUGCCCGGAGAAGCGGCUCAGUGGGCCGGACUUUGCGGGGCCAUAGUUGGCGCUCAUAUCUGGCAUCUGGAGCUCAUUGAAUCCAUGGCAACCAGAAGUUGUGGAAUUGUAAACAGACUGGAGAGACUGUUUUUCCUCCGCCACAACGCACAAGAGCCCAACAUGGCCGCCAGCCGACUCACAUGUUUAGGUCAAAGGGAGCAAACGAGGCAAAAUACACAUACACACAAAGUCACGUGCAGACAAAAUGCCUUUUCCUUUGCGCAGUGUGUGUGUAAUAUGCAACUUUCUGCAGCAUAAAUAAUUCAUUCAAGGCAUUUAUUUCAGAUAUUUUGAGUUAAAAAAGUGGAUAAAGCAUAUUAAUAAAUGGUUACAAUACUUUAA